GACGAACGCUGGCGGCGUGCUUGACACAUGCAAGUCGAACGGAAAGGCCCUGCUUUUGUGGGGUGCUCGAGUGGCGAACGGGUGAGUAACACGUGAGUAACCUGCCCUUGACUUUGGGAUAACUUCAGGAAACUGGGGCUAAUACCGGAUAGGAGCUCCUGCUGCAUGGUGGGGGUUGGAAAGUUUCGGCGGUUGGGGAUGGACUCGCGGCUUAUCAGCUUGUUGGUGGGGUAGUGGCCUACCAAGGCUUUGACGGGUAGCCGGCCUGAGAGGGUGACCGGCCACAUUGGGACUGAGAUACGGCCCAGACUCCUACGGGAGGCAGCAGUGGGGAAUAUUGCACAAUGGGCGGAAGCCUGAUGCAGCAACGCCGCGUGCGGGAUGACGGCCUUCGGGUUGUAAACCGCUUUCGCCUGUGACGAAGCGUGAGUGACGGUAAUGGGUAAAGAAGCACCGGCUAACUACGUG
rnacentral:rRNA from 1 species